UUAAAAGCAUAUUACAUUUGUUUACUAAUCCAAAUAUCAUUUAUGGAAGGAUUAAUUUUAUACAGGUCCCUACAAAUAUAGUGAACGACAAAUAUAUUCCUAUAAAGUUCAACUUUUAUAUAUUGUUUCUACAAAAGUUCUAAUAUUUUCAAAUAUAUCCUUCUGAUUUAUUAUCGUUAGAAAAUCGUUAGAAAACUGUUUAUAUUUUUUCAAUUUUGCCUUACAAAUAUGUUUAUCCAAAAAUUAUAACAGUAUAACAUAAGAGGGAUAAAAAUGUCAAAAACCAACCAGCUUAAGUAUUUAACUUAUAGUUAACUAACGAAUUUUAACGAUAUGGAUAUAUUUGAAAAUAUUAAAACUUUUGUAGGAAUGAUAUAUGAAAGUUGAAAUUUGUAGAAAUAUAUUUGCAGGACCUGUAUGAAAUUAAUUUUUAAUUGAAUCAUUCU
rnacentral:lncRNA from 1 species